AGUUGCUGCUGAUAGAAAUGUGUGGCAAUUACUCAGCUCACUGACAUUAGUUUAUAUAAUUGUGAUAAACUUGACUUACUGUUCACUCCAAUAAUUUGGUUUUUCUCUAUUUUCUAGUGACGCCGCCGGAUAAUAAUGACAGCCUGUGUGCUUUGCAGCCUUUUCCAGGGAUCCUUCAGAGGACUAACAAUGGUGCUGUGUUAAGAAAUCCUACCCAACAAAAUUCCACUGAGGCAGAUGUAGAGAUGACUGCGAGAAACUGGCUGCGGCUGAGGCGGGACAGGAAAGCAAGAGGGCGAGCAUCUUAAAGUGAAAUAAUUGAUUGGACUGAUUUUUCCUGUUUACCUAUUUUGGAGGGAAUUUCUUUUUGUUGUUGUUGUACUUUUCUAUGUGUGAUUUGAUGAGUGUUAAAAUAAAUGAUACUGCUUUUGCAAAAACAAAAGUAAAAAAUAAAUGUUCAAGGUCA